GGUAGCAUAAUAACUUGUCUUUUAAUUGUGGGCUGGGAUGAAAGAGCCGACGAAAUCUAUACUAUUUAAGUAUUUUAUUAAAUUGACAUACUAGUCAAAAGGCUAGUGUGUGCCAGGGGGACGACAAGACCCUAUAAAACUUUACUUUUGAGUGGCAUCUGUUUGAGUUUUGCUGUGCGUAAGAGUUUAACUGGGGCGGUAUCUAUACGAACAAUUGAAACUAUAAUAUAAUAAAUAAAUACUAGGAACUCUAUGUGAAAUAGAACAAGUUACUUUAGGGAUAACAGCAUAAUCCUCCCAGAUAGUUCUAAUUGGCGGGUGGGCUUAUGACCUCGAUGUUGAAUUGGGGAACCUCGUGUGAGCAGCAGCACACGCAGACAGUCUGUUCGACUAUUAAAUCCCC
rnacentral:rRNA from 1 species